AACGAACGCUGGCGGCAUGCCUAACACAUGCAAGUCGAACGAGACCUUCGGGUCUAGUGGCGCACGGGUGCGUAACGCGUGGGAACCUGCCCUUAGGUUCGGAAUAACUCCCCGAAAGGGGUGCUAAUACCGGAUAAUGUCUUCGGACCAAAGAUUUAUCGCCUUUGGAUGGGCCCGCGUUGGAUUAGCUAGUUGGUAGGGUAAAAGCCUACCAAGGCGACGAUCCAUAGCUGGUCUGAGAGGAUGAUCAGCCACACUGGGACUGAGACACGGCCCAGACUCCUACGGGAGGCAGCAGUGGGGAAUAUUGGACAAUGGGCGAGAGCCUGACCCAGCAAUGCCGCGUGAGUGAUGAAGGCCUUAGGGGUGUAAAGCUCUUUUACCCGGGAUGAUAAUGACAGUACCGAGAGAAUAAUCUCCGGCUAACUCCG
rnacentral:rRNA from 1 species